CAGCAGCCGCGGUAAUACGAAGGGGGCUAGCGUUGCUCGGAAUUACUGGGCGUAAAGGGCGCGUAGGCGGACAGUUCAGUCGGGGGUGAAAGCCCGGGGCUCAACCUCGGAAUUGCCUUCGAUACUGGCUGUCUUGAGUAUGAGAGAGGUGUGUGGAACUCCGAGUGUAGAGGUGAAAUUCGUAGAUAUUCGGAAGAACACCAGUGGCGAAGGCGACUUACUGGCCCAUUACUGACGCUGAGGUGCGAAAGCGUGGGGAGCAAACAGGAUUAGAUACCCCUGUAGUCCCUGUCUCUUAUAC
rnacentral:rRNA from 1 species